GGGCAUGUGAAUGUAGCGGAUAUCACAGGAGUGUGCGAUACUUCUGACCUGGGUUCAAAUCCCAGCAUGCCCGCCA
rnacentral:tRNA from 1 species